ensembl:lncRNA
GGACAGCCAGGAGACAGGACAGCCAGGAGACAUGACAGUCAGGAGACAGGACAGCCAGGAGACAGGACAGGCAGGAGACAGGACAGGCAGGAGACAGAACAGGCAGGAGACAGGACAGCCAGGAGACAGGACAGCCAGGAGACAGGACAGCCAGGAGACAGGACAGCCAGACCUGCAUAAAUAACAGAGGUUAGGUCCCUAAUUGCUCCAUAUUCCCCAUAUAGUGCACUACUUUUGACCAGGGUCUCCAGGGAAUAGGGUGCCAUUUAGGAUGCAAACGGUGCUAUGCUAAUCAGGCAUCCCACCCGGUGUGGUUGUGAUUUUUUCUUCUGGGGGAUUUGUUUACUGGCGGAUAAUUGAUGGUGCUUGAGGGACAGGCGUGAGUUGGACAUGAAUCACGGGGCGACGCGCCGUGAUAAGGAGCUGAAAGUCGUCCGUAAUUAAGCAGGGCACUAGAGACCAAUUGUUUGCAGAAUGAUUUGGCCGCCGGCUAA